GAUGAAGAACGUAGCGAAAUGCGAUAAGUAAUGUGAAUUGCAGAAUUCAGUGAAUCAUCGAAUCUUUGAACGCACAUUGCGCCCCUUGGUAUUCCGAGGGGCAUGCCUGUUCGAGCGUCAUUUUGACCACUCCCGCUUGCGGGGUCUUGGGCCUUCGCCUCUGGGCGGGCCUUAAAAUCAGUGGCGGUGCCGUCCGGCUCUAAGCGUAGUAAAUCUCUCGCUCCAGUGCCCGGUGGUAGCCUGCCAGAACCCCAACUCUCGUGGUUGACCUCGGAUCAGGUAGGGAUACCCGCUGAACUUAAGCAUAUCAAUAAGCGGAGGA
rnacentral:misc_RNA from 1 species